UACGUAGGGGGCAAGCGUUGUCCGGAAUCAUUGGGCGUAAAGCGCGUGUAGGCGGCUCUGAAAGUCUGGUGUGAAAUCCUGCGGCUCAACCGCAGACUGUCACUGGAUACUGUCGAGCUUGAGUCCGGAAGAGGAGAGUGGAAUUCCUGGUGUAGCGGUGGAAUGCGCAGAUAUCAGGAGGAACACCGGUGGCGAAGGCGGGUCUCUGGGCAACAACUGACGCUGAGGAGCGAAAGCGUGGGGAGCGAACAGG
rnacentral:rRNA from 1 species